AGGGAGGGGAGGGGGAGCGUAUGGCCUUGCUGGUCGGAGCUUUCCCACCAGCCUGUCUUUGGUCUUGAGACUACUUGCAGAGAGAGGGAACUCAUGACCUUGCUGGUCAGCAGCUUUCCCACCAGCCCAUAUCUCUUUGCGGGAGGAGAUAGUCCAGGUGCUUGUCCUUGAUGGUGUCUGUCUCCAUGGAGGAUAGUGGAUUCUGGAGCCAGGAAGCCAGAGAUUUUCAUACAGGCUCGGGGUUUUAAAACUUUGAAAUCAAGGACGUCUGCAGUCUACCUCUGAAAGAUUAGCAGAAACACAGCAUAUAGCACCAUCAUUCGUGAAGUUCGCUUCCGGACAACAACAGGGCUUGAUUCUGCAGUUGAUCCUGUCCAGAUGAAAAAUGUCACCUUUGAACAUGUUAAAGGAUUGAAGUAGCUGUGAACCCUGCUGGGAUUGUGAAAAGGGAGCAGUAGAGGAAGAGGCUGGUGCAGUGACUAUUUGAAAGCUAGACACAUCAGUGCGGAGGGCCCUUCUCGUUCUGUCUGAGGGCUGCAGUCAGAGAGCCUGCUUACGUUGAGCUUGCACUAAGGCCGUGGUCAGCGAGGCGUCCUUACUCUCUCCCUGCGGUGUAUGUACUUCAUUACUCAGUACACCACAUUUCUUUUCGGAUGAGGCCAUUUGGAGUGCAAAAUUAGAGAAGAUGUGUUGACACCCAAACGUUAGGAAACGGGGACAUCACAAGGUGGAUCCUCACACAGUUUCCCGUGAUAAUAUGAAUAAAUGUUAUAAUUGCUGUAAAAUCUAAGUUUAUGUGGAGCAAAGUAUUUCAGUAGCAUUUACCAUAAUAGUAUGCCGUCUUUCACCAGGUCUUAAAGAGCUUGUGUAAGAAUGUUAUUUCCUUGCCCAGAAUUCCUGAACAUGUAGGGUUACUUGUAUAUGGAGCCACUGUGGAAACAUUCAUAAGGGCGUUGAUAACUUCACUCACUGCCUUGAUCCUCGUAACCCUACUCUCCUCCAUAGGUUUUAUAUUCCUUAACUGGGAAUUCUCUUGCCACAGAGGUUGGGAAGAGAAAAUGUAUUUUGAAUGGUCGAUGAUGUUUAAUUUCUUUCCUGUUUUCGUCCAAUUUUAAGUUAUCCAUUACCUUGACCAAAUGUAUGUUGGUUUUCUUUUAGUGUAUGGAUCUCUUCAAAUAUUAAAAAAAUUUUUUUGAUAAUCUGUUCAACUCUUUUUUUACACAUAAAUUUUACUGAAGCUUAACAGUCACACAAAAAUGCACACAUCGUAAAUGUACACCUCAAUAAAUUUUCGCACACGGCUUUGAACACAUCUAUGUUGUCAGCACCCAGCUCAGGAAACAGAACGCCAGGGCCUGCCUAGUGCCUCUUUCCAGUCACCAUCUCUCCCCACCCCAAGGGUGAGCACUGUCCUGUCUAAUACCGUAGGUUAGUUUGGGCGGUUUUUGAAUUUUAUAUAAAUGUGACGCAUGUAGUAUGUACGAUUUCUUUCGUCAACGUAUUUGUGAGAUCCAUCCGUGUUGUUACAUGGAGCGGUAGUUCAUUCAUCCUCAUUGCAUAGUGUUCUAUUCCACGAACACCACGAUACUGUGUGUUUAUUCCACAUUAGGUAGACAUGUGGUUGUGUCUAGUUUUAGCUAAAAUGGUCCUGCUGUGAAUGUUGUUGUACAGAUCUCUUGGUGAGCGUAUGAACACACUUCUCUUGUGCCUGGGAGUGGACAAAGCUUUGCUUUUAACCAUUAACUUUAUAAACAUUUUUAGUAAAUUUUAAUAAUUUAAUCAGAAUAACUUUAAAGACCAUUUCAAGACUAAAAAAACACCUACUUACUCUGUAUCACUUGUAUAUUUCCUGGAAAUAGUCCUGGGAAAUUUUCUAGAAAUCUAAGAUAGUCACGAGUUUAAUUUUAGAUUAUCAGAAUGCCCUUUGGCCCAGAGAUCUGUUUCAUGUUUUACUACACUCCUUCCCAGGUAGUUUUUUUAACCCUGCCCGAUGUACUUCAGGUCAUUUUUGUCACUUAGAGCUAUUUAAAGUUGUCUAUUGUGAGGUUGCACAUUGACUGCCAGUGAGCUAAGUGGAUUAACAAAUGUAUUAUUGGCCUAAUGUAACUUAA
ensembl:lncRNA